rnacentral:rRNA from 1 species
GUCAUAUGCUUGUCUCAAAGAUUAAGCCAUGCAUGUCUCAGUACAAGCCGAAUUAAGGUGAAACCGCGAAAGGCUCAUUAAAUCAGUUAUGGUUCCUUAGAUCGUACCCACAAUUACUNGGAUAACUGUGGUAAUUCUAGAGCUAAUACAUGCAAACAGAGCUCCGACCGGAGACGGAAGGAGUGCUUUUAUUAGAUCAAAACCAAUCGGUGGCGGGUUCGCUCGUUAUCGUACAACUUGGUGACUCUGAAUAACUUUAGGCUGAUCGCACGGUCAUCGCACCGGCGACGCAUCUUUCAAAUGUCUGCCUUAUCAACUGUCGAUGGUAGGUUCUGCGCCUACCAUGGUUGUAACGGGUAACGGGGAAUCAGGGUUCGAUUCCGGAGAGGGAGCCUGAGAAACGGCUACCACAUCCAAGGAAGGCAGCAGGCGCGCAAAUUACCCACUCCCGGCACGGGGAGGUAGUGACGAAAAAUAACGAUACGGGACUCAUCCGAGGCCCCGUAAUCGGAAUGAGUACACUCUAAACCCUUUAACGAGGAUCAAUUGGAGGGCAAGUCUGGUGCCAGCAGCCGCGG